GCCUCGUCCUCCCGCGGCCAGAGGUGCGACCUCUGAGCCCCUGGCCAGCUCCCAGCCGGCCUAGGGGGGCGGGGGCACGGGGCGGAGGUCCCGCAGCCCGUGCUCGUCCCGCCUCGCUUGGAGGGAGCAAGGGCUCCGAGCCCUGGGCCCAGGUCCUGUGCCUCCGCUUCCCCGGCUGCGGGUACACCCCCAGCUUCCCGAGCCCCCCGGGCCCUCGCUGCUCCACCCAGAAGUUGCGGUGACUGCGGCCCCAGCACCCCGUUCCCUGGCCGGGCAUCACUUGCGCAGCAUGCUGCCCCCAGAGGACAGGGCUACAGUUAGUCGCCCACACCUCAUUCACCCCCUUGGGCCCUUGAGCGUCUUAGAAGCCGCAGAUGCCAAGGAGGGGACGCUGCCUCGCGGAUGGUCACUUGGGAGCAAAGCUGGGGACUAAAGGAACCAGGGACAGAGAUUCCUGCUCUCGCCAAAUUGGCCGCUCUGGGCCAGGCACUGAGGACACACCGCGAAGCCGGAUAGCCAGGUCCUGUCCUCAGGGCCCUGUCCGGAAGAGGACUGGGCAGCCUCGAGUCCGCGGCAAUGAAUGAAUGUUCAAUUGCACAGAUGGGGAGGCGAAGGAGGGAGGGAGGGAGGGAGGGCAGUCGCUUGGGCGGUCAUUGGAGGCUCUGGGAGGCUAUGCGCCGGCAAGAAGCAGCGGGGUGGAGGCAGCCCUGCGGGAGUCGGCGAGGGCCGCGUGGAUGUGCUCGGUGGUUUUGAGGCCAGUGGCUGGAGGGGCGUGAGAGUGGGAGACCAGACUUGAGGGGAGUGGCUGGAGUUGAGACUCAAAUCCAAGAAGGAAACGGUGGGGCUUGGACCACUUGCCUACUGAGAAAAAUGGAAGUCGGGAAGGCUUUAGAUCUAGUCGCGCUUGGUCACUUCCGUCUCCGGGCCUCAGCUUCCCAGGUUGUAGAAAGCAUCAGGGUUGGAGGCUCUGAAAUUCUGGCUCCUCUCAAGCCAAGAUUAGUAUGACUUCAUUUUGGUUGUGCAAGAAAUGGGCCUGCAGCGGUUCGCAGAGGCAGAGGGACCUAAGCUUGAAGGGCAAUCAAACCGGCGUAGGCAGGAACGUCGGGAGCCCAGACCCCAGGCAGGGAGUUUAAGGUCUUGGACACAGAGGGUGCGCUCCUCGAAGCAGCCACAAAGCGGUGACAGAGACCAGGCUUACGUUUUGUUUUGAAAUAAUUUCAAAGUAACAGAAAAGCCGUGAGAAUAGUUCCGAGAACUGCCUCCCUUAUUAAUGCAGAUUCACCAAGCUUUAACAUUCUGCUCCCCAGCCCUUGCAUAUUCAAGCCCCCAUUGCAAGCAUCGGAGAGUAAGUUGCAGGCGCGAUGGCCCUUGAACCCUAAGUCCUCCAAUGUGUAUUGCCCAAGAACAAGGACAUUCUAUUGCACAACCCCAGUGGUUUUCAAGAUCGAGUGAUUUAACCAUAAUACAAUAAUUUAAUCUGCACAACCUUACUCAAAUAUCACCAAAUGUCGCAACGAGGUCUUUUAUAGCACAUCCCCUUCCCAUCCCCAUCCAGGAGCCACGCCAGGAUCACAUUUGUAAAUUUAAUUAUUAUUAUUUAAGACGAGUCUCGCUCUGUCGCCCAGGCUGGAGUGCAGUGGCGCGAUCUCGGCUCACUGCAAGCUCCGCCUCCCGGGUUCACGCCAUUCUCCUGCCUCAGCCUCCCGAGUAGCUGGGACUACAGGCGCCUGCCACCGCGCCCGGCUAAUUUUUUGUAUUUUUAGUAGAGACAGGGUUUCACCGUGUUAGCCAGUCUGGUCUCGAUCUCCUGACCUCGUGAUCCGCCCGCCUCGGCCUCCCAAAGUGCUGGGAUUACAGGCGUGAGCCACUGCGACCGGCCAGGAUCACAUUUAGUUGUUCACCUUUUUCAUUUUGUUAUUUUAUUUCGUUUGUUUGUUUUGAGACAGGGGCUUGCUGUGUCAUCCAGGCUGGAGUGCAGUGGCACCAGCAUGGCUCACUGCAGCCUUGAAUUUUUGGGCUCAAGGGAUCCUCUCCCCUCAGUCUGCAGAGUAGCUGGGACUAUGCAUGCCAACACACCAGGCUUGUUCACCUUUAUUUUAAUUGCAACUUAUUCACCAAGCUUACUUUGGCUGAAGUAAUUUGAAAAAGAUGGGUGCAAAGGGUUCUAGCCUCAUCCUUCAUAACUGCAUGACCCCGGGCAGGGCCCGAGUCCUCUCCAGUGAGAAGUGCCAGGAUCUGGGCAGGGCACAUGGAGGAGCUGGAGCGGGCAGAGGAUGCACUUGCAUUCUGAGAUGGAGCCAUUCUUCCGUCCUCCCUGGCCUGGCCCAUUUCCCCAGGCUCUUGGCGAAGGGGUACCUCCUGAUUCACCCACCACAGUCUUCGAAUGGGGCAUCCAAGACUCCCCAAAAGGCACCAACUCCUUGAGAAGGCAGCUUUGGGGAACAUACUCCCCAUCCUGAGACAGACAAAAGGCCAGUUAGAAGAAUUGCUUUAGGUCUGGAAAGGAAGAGGAGCUUGAAGGACUCCGGAGACUGGAGAUAAACCCUUCUGAGAGUCAGGAGGUUUUCAUUUUAUAUUUGCAAUAAAAUUGGGGGAUAAUCCAACCAACUUGUCAACUAAUAGAGGUUAAAAAUAAUUUCUUUAACUUUUACUAUGGAAAAUGUAAACACAGGCAAAAGUAGAGAGACCUCUACAAUGAACCUUUACUUACCCAUUACCCAGUGGUAACAAAAAUAAUUCUUAAUGAUGGAUUACUAUGGAUUUUGGGCAGAAAAUUCAAAGGAAUAAUUGUGUUGCAUUGCUCCAGUACUCCCUCCUUUCCCUUUGCUUAUUUAUGUGACAAGACUUCUCAGUGCUUACCUCUAUAAAAAUGAGAAAUUGGAAGAGACGAUGCCGACCAUUGACUCAUCACAGAAAUAAAGAAUGUUUAUCCACUGGUGCACUAAAUGAGGUUUGGGUAGUAGCGCAACAAUCAAUGUAUAAGAAAUACAUUGCUAACAACAUUUUACUUUGUUUAAUAAGUAUCUAUCAACACUUGUAGGCCGGGUGCAGUGGCUCACCCCUGUAAUCCCAGCACUUCAGAAGGCCAAGGCAGGAGGAUCACUUGAGCUUAGGAGUAGAGACCAGCCUCAGCAACAUGGUGAAACCCCAUCUCUACAAAAAAUUAGCCGGGCAUAGUGGCGCGUGUCUGAAGUCCCAGCUACUGGAGAGGCUGAGGCAGGAGGAUCACUUGAGACUGGGAGGUCAAGGAUGCAGUGAGCUGUGAUAGUGCCAUUGCACUCCAGCUGGGGCAACAGAGCGAGACCUUGUCUCAAAAAUAAUUGUAAUAAAUUUAUGUUUUGAUGAAUUGUAUGCUAAUGUUAUUUGUAAUAACUUACCAGAAUUUUUUUUAAGAGAUGGGGGUCUCACUGUCACCCAGGCUGGGGUGCAGUGGUGCAGUAAUGGCCCACUGCAGCCUCAAACCCCUGGCCUCAAACUAUCCUCCCAUGUCACAGGGACUACAGGUGCAAGCUGCCAUGCUUGGCAAUUUCUUUGAAACGUUUAGUGAUUGUAGUCACAGAAAAUGUGUGUUUUUCCAUUUUGGUUUACACGCAUAGUUUCUACUAUGGAGAAGUAGGAUGGUGUGACCAAUAAGAUACUUUCAGGCAUGAGAAUACAUCAUUGUAGGCUCAAAGUUUGUGGGGGCAGUGGAAUUGAAUACGAGUUUCUAAGAGAAAUAAACUGAUGUAAAAACUUCAUUUAAAAAAAGGCCAGGGCCGGGCUCUGUGGCUCACGCCUGUAAUCCCAGCACUUCGGGAGGCCGAGGCGGGAGAAUCACGAGGUCAGGAGUUCGAGACCAGCCUGGCCAACAUGGUGAAAUGCCAUCUCUACUAACAAUACAAAAAAUUAGCUGGGUGUGGUGGCACGCACCUGUAAUCCCAGCUACUGGGAGGCUGAGGCAAGAGAAUCACUUGAACCCAGGAGGUGGAGGUUGCAGUGAGCCGAGAUUGCUUAAUUGCACUGGGCAACAAGAGCGAAACUCCAUCUCAAAAAAAAAAGAGCUUGUUCAUGUACUUUUACAUGGGUAGUGGUGGGCAUCCAGCAACUAUGGGCUUUUAGAAGCCGCUGGAUGCAUUAUACAAGUGAUGAAACAGCUCAUUUAACGUCAGUGUUGGCCUAGCGCAGUGGCUCACGCCCGUAAGCACUUUGGGAGGAGUAAGCCAAGGCAGGAGGAUCAUUUGAGUUUAAGACCAGCCUGGGCAACAUAGCAAAAUCCCAUCUCUACCAACAAAGAAGAAAUUAGCUGGCCAUGAUGGAACACCCUGUUGUCCGAGCUUCUUGGAUGGCUUGAGCCCAGUUCAAGGCUGGGCUGCAAGUUCAAGGCUGCAAGUGAGCUGUGAUGGUGCCGUUGCACUCCAGCCUGGGAGAUAGAGUGAGACCUUGUCUCUAAAAUGAAUAAAUAAAUAAGAAAAGUUAAAAAACAUUUAAAAUAAGUGAAUAAAAACUCAAUAUUUACCAUAUCCAGGAAAUCACAUCCUUUGCUUCCAGUUUAAUGUUGUAAAUAUGAAUUUUUAAACGUGUGAGAGGGUAUAAGGUGUUUCCAUAUUCUUUUGGGGGACCCACCGGUAACACAGUUUGCGGUUCCUGGCUGGGCAGUGCCUAGGAGCUGCCCCCUGAGGUGUGGGAGCCCGCCAUAGGCUGCCCUCCAGCAGACUCCAGUUCCUCUAGGUACCUGUUCUAUUUUUUUUUUCUUUGAGUUUUUUUAAUAAAAUAAUCUCAUGCAUCAGGAGAGGACAGGGUCAGGGAUUGGGGCCGCUGCCUCUAUGGUCUGUGGCUGGGGAGGGUGGGCUCCGCUCAGGGCUGGAGGGCUCUGUGGGCUAUGGGGGCAGAGGCUUGGUUCCAAGGCUGGAUCCUAGCCUUGGGGAUGGAGGUGCCUUGAACUUCGGCCUGCAUUUGAAGACGGGGAAGCGCUGCAGUCGCAGGGGCUGUUCAGCAGGGGCCUGGAGCUGGUCCUCAAGCACAGACACCGCUCACGGCCCUGCCGAGAGAGGCUG
rnacentral:lncRNA from 1 species